GACUGGCCUGAAGGUAGUUAGUUAUCUCAAUUGAUUAUUCAGUCAGUUACAGAUUGAACUCCUGGUUCUACUCUUUCCCUCCUUCUCACUACUGAACUUCACUGGCCUUAA
ensembl:Y_RNA Y_RNA Y RNA